AUUGAACGCUGGCGGCAUGCCUAACACAUGCAAGUCGAACGGCCGCGCGGGCUUCUGUCUUGUGGGGAGUGGCGAACGGGCGAGUAAUUCAUCGGUGCGUGCCCAGCAGUUGGGGAUAGCCUGACUUCAGGCUGCUUAAUCCCGCACCCGACAUGAGUGUGAAACCGUGGGUUCGAAAGGCCUCGCGGUACUUGCGCUCCCUAUGUCGGAUUACCUAGUUGGUGGGGUAAAGGCGUACCAAGGCGACGAACCGUAGCUGCUCUGAGAGGACGACCUGGCACACUGGAACUGAGACACGGCCCAGACUCCUACGGGAGGCAGCAGUGGGGAAUUUUCGACAAUGGGCGCAACCCUGACCCAGCCAUGCCGCGUGCGGGAAGAAGGCCUUCGGGUUGUAAAACGCUUUUGUUCGGGAAGAACUCCUCUGGGCUAAUACCCCCGGGUGUUGACGGUACCGAAUGAGAAAGCACCGGCUAACUACGUG
rnacentral:rRNA from 1 species